UACGAAGGGGGCUAGCGUUGCUCGGAAUCACUGGGCGUAAAGGGUGCGUAGGCGGGUCUUUAAGUCAGGGGUGAAAUCCUGGAGCUCAACUCCAGAACUGCCUUUGAUACUGAGGAUCUUGAGUUCGGGAGAGGUGAGUGGAACUGCGAGUGUAGAGGUGAAAUUCGUAGAUAUUCGCAAGAACACCAGUGGCGAAGGCGGCCCACUGGAUCGGUACUGACGCUGAGGUGCGAAAGCGUGGGGAGCAAACAGG
rnacentral:rRNA from 1 species